rnacentral:rRNA from 2 species
GACAGAGGUCCCGAGCGUUAGGCGGAAUCACUGGGCUUAAAGCGUGUGUAGGCGGAUUUGUAAGUACCUUGUGAAAUCCCACGGCUUAACCGUGGAACUGCUUGGUAUACUGCUUAUCUUGGGCCACUUAGGGGUUACCGGAACAAACGGUGGAGCGGUGAAAUGCGUAGAUAUCGUUUGGAACGCCAAUGGUGAAAACAGGUAACUGGGAGUGUGCCGACGCUGAGACACGAAAGCCAGGGGAGCGAACGGG